GUCGUCACAUCAGCAACCUUGUCAUCAAUUUUGUUGCAUAUUUCUGAUUUUACCUGGGACAGCUCUGCUUGCAAAGUUGCUGUUAUGGAGACAGACAAAAUGGAGAAGAAUGAAACAUGUGCGUAACCUUUUCAAGGACGGCAGUGAGGAUGGGCCGUCCGGCUCGAAAGCACUUUAGGAAAAGAAAACCACUGGUGCGGUUAAUACAGAAAAGAAGAAGAGAGGGAAAAUAGAUGAGGGGGCCUGAAAGCCGACUAUGAUGACUUCUAUAUAUAGCCGCUGCAGUGCGUGGUGAAGGCCUGCACCGCUAAGACGGCAUGCUCUUCCAGCUAAAGGGAUUUCACAGAGAAUAUGUGUGUGUCAGAGUGUGUGUAUGUACGCAUGUAUCUGCAUGUGUGCAUGUGUUUAUUAGGACCAGAGAUUACACUGAGUGGUGCUGCCGACAAGAGGAGAGGAAGAGAGGAGGAGGAGGAGGAGAAGGAGAGAGCUGUGUUGCUGCAGGAGAUGUGGCGUCCUUAAUUACAAAGCAAACAACCAGGCCUUCUCCCUUACAGGAUAAAUGCUUAUGUAUUUCUCUGAAGGGCUAUUAUUACAAAACUUUUCUACUCAGCAAUUUCUAAUAAUUAAAUGUUACAAAGACCCA